UUUGGUUACAUCUCGAAUCCACCAAAGCCUGAUAUUUACCCCCUUAAUACUCACGGGUAUUUGGUACAGGCAAGCUUGAACGGGGGCAGCCUGUGGGGCGUUUGGAACCCGGAUUAGUGUCCCCACCUCUUGAACUGGACACUGAUCAAUAAAAUGACCUGGGUCCCCGCAACGCCAACAGGCCAGCCCAAGCGGGCCAAGAAAUUGGAGUGGAGAGAGUGGAGGAACGGGAGCUGCGGCGGGGCUGAUGCUGGUCGAUCCCUCCCCCCUGGGUGGCUGUUGGGAGCUGGGAGCUGUUGGUUCCGCCCCUGGACAACUUCUCCACUGGGGUGGGGCUUGUGGAGGGAGUUUCCCUCUGGACCUGGGGAAAGGGACAGGUUUGGAGGGAGAAAACACAGGGGGGGAGAGAGAGAGAGAGAGAGAGAUGGCAGGGGUUUGCCUACCCCAGGGCAGACCACCAUCUGGUCUUCCGCCAGUUGGAUGGCCUGGUUCAGCGACGUCAGGCGGUGGCACUGGACCCACUGGGCAGUCUUCCUUGGCAGCUGAGCCACGAACUGUUCCAAGUACCACUUUGUCGAUGAAUUCCUCGAAGUCGCUUUUCAGCGGCAGGCGUCCCGGAGCCGUUGCACCAUCACAAAGGUACGGCCGCACUCUCCGAGGUCCAACGACCUGAAGUGCUGUUCGUGACACAGGCUGACCCGCUGGAGGAUGGCGUGUAGACCAGGAGAUUCUGGACUGGCAGCUGUUGUGCAGCUAUCUGUGCUUCUCCAGACAGCAGGGGGAUGAGCCGCACUAGACAGUCCUCUUGGGGCCACCCACAUUCCUCAGCUGACCUCUCAAACAGAUCUGUGAAUUCCUCUGGGUCGUCCUGGGCACAAAACUUAUUGAGAGGCAUGUGAGUGGGCGGGGCUGGGGCAGAUGGAUGAGCGCUCAGAAACGCCAUUCCUGAUCUUCCCUUAUGCCCAGCAGUGCCUGAUGUUGUUCCUGGUGAAAACAUGCUAGCGAUUGGAUGACCUCCGCAAAUGGUGAUCCUGGCGGGGACUGCAUGAUGGCGGCGGCGUUCUUCAUCCUUCCUGGGUUUCGGCACCAGUGCGAUGUGGUUCAAAGGGAAGGAAGAAGACAGGCUUUAUUUUAGCGCUCUCUGGCACAAACAAAAGAAGUGGCGUCAACUGCACUCUCAGUCACUCAGAAAAUAACUCAGAAUAUCAAUCCGUAAACAAUUCUUGUUCCAACAACAAUCUCCCCAUGUGGCUUGAGUUCCCAGACAGUCUCUCCCCCUUACUUCCCGAUUCCUGGUGGCUUUUAUCUGGUCUCUCCACACCAAUUACUGAAACGAGACACAGGUGUUUAUAAUGUGCACUUGACCUACUUACUCACCGCUCGUCUCCUGCCU
ensembl:lncRNA